ensembl:lncRNA
AUGGUGUCUGCCCAGGGACAUCAGUGGACUUCCCGGGCGGGGCGUCCUCUGAUGGUGUCUGCCCAGGGACAUCAGUGGACUUCCUGGGCGGGACGUCCUCCAAUGGUGUCUUCCCAGGGACAUCAGUGGACUUCCUGGGGCAUCUUCGAGGGCGUCCUCGGAGGGCGUCUGCCCAGGGACAUCAGUGGACUUCCCGGGCGGGAUGCAGCCUCUCUUCUCCUCCCCACCCCAGGCCCAGGGAAAUCUGCACGUUAACAGGGCUCCUGGUGACCUGUGCACACAUUCAGACUCUCCAUGUUCCAGCUGAGGUCUGGAUCCCCCCCACCCCCGCUCCAGUCUCCCCAGCCCUAUGUCUUCCUGUGGCACCCCGCCCUCUUGUGGGCCGUAAACUGUCUGUUACACUCUUGACUUCACUUCCAUCUUCCCCACUGGAUGAGUAACUUCCAAAGCCAGGUUCAUGCUUAUCUCGUCGUCGUCUUUCUUUAAAAAAGAUUUAUUUGAUUAUUUGAAAGGCGGAGUUAGAGAGAGAGGAAGAGAGAUUGAUCUUCCAUCCGCUAGUUUAUUCUCCAAAUGGCUGCAAUGCCGGAGCUGGGCUGAGCUGAAGCCAGGAUCUCCUACAUGGGUGCAGGGGCCCAAUUACUGGGGCCAUUUUCUGCUGCUUUCCCAGACACAUUAGCAGGGAGCUGGAUUGAAAGUGGAUCAGCGGGAAUUUGAACUGGUGCCCAUAUGGGAUGAAGUGCAGGCCUGCUGUGCCACAGCGCUGGCCCCUAACUUGUUUGUCUUUAUACCACCGGGUGAUGGAGUGUUUCAAAAGUAGAUAAAGGUGGUCCAACAAACAUUAUGGAUAUAUUAAAUGCUGCUGAGUCAUUCACUUGGGGUGAUUUUAUAUAGGGUGAAUUUUACCUCAAUUCAAAACAAAAAACCAAGUAAUAGGCUUUUUAAAUAUCAGACACCCAGCCCCCAGAGAUGCUGAAUCAUUUGAUCUUAAAAGGAGCCCAGGCAGCAUUAAUUUAUUUUUGCUUUUUUAAUUUUUAAUUUAUUUGAAAGACAGAUUUGGGGGCUGAGGGGAGACAGAGAGAGGGACAGAGAAAUCCUCGCUCUCCUGGUUCACUUCCCAGAUGCCUGCAACAGGGAUGUGCCAGGCCAGAGUGAGGAAUCAGGAGCUCAGUUCAAGUCUCUCACCUGGGUGCCCAGCACCGAAGCACCAGAGGCACCCUCAGCUGCCUCUCAGAGUGUGCAUCGGCACGAAGCUCACAUAGGAAGCAGAGCCAGGACACAGCCCAGGUAUGGCGAUUUUUAGAAGUUCCCUGGGGUGCUUGGAAGUGGGCUGCCCAGGUUGGGAAGUCCAGGUGUAAAGCAAGGCUCCAAGGUGGACCGGGCACAGCUUUGGAGUCCAGCUGACCUGAGAGUGGGUUCUGCUCCCACCUCGCAGAUUCCCCGAACCUGUUUUCUUCUUUGCAAGAAUGCGAGUCUUAAUAUUUCCCACACCAGGGCUUUGUUAAAAUCACAGGCGGUCAUCUUAGGGAUACACGCGGUCUUGAUGUGAGGUGCUAAAUAAAACACCGCUUUCAUGAUUAAGAGCA